UAUUAAAUAUUUAUAGGAUAGAGAUGGGCUCGCGUGACAUUAGCUAGUUGGUAGGGUAACGGCUUACCAAGGCGACGAUGUCUAGGGGCUCUGAGAGGAGAAUCCCCCACACUGGUACUGAGACACGGACCAGACUCCUACGGGAGGCAGCAGUAAGGAAUAUUGGUCAAUGGGCGGAAGCCUGAACCAGCCAUGCCGCGUGCAGGAUGACUGCCCUAUGGGUUGUAAACUGCUUUUGUCCAGGAAUAAACCUAAAUACGUGUAUUUAGCUGAAUGUACUGGAAGAAUAAGGAUCGGCUAACUCCGUGCCAGCAGCCGCGGUAAUACGGAGGAUCCGAGCGUUAUCCGGAUUUAUUGGGUUUAAAGGGUGCGUAGGCGGCCUAUUAAGUCAGGGGUGAAAUACGGUGGCUCAACCAUCGCAGUGCCUUUGAUACUGAUGGGCUUGAAUCCAUUUGAAGUGGGCGGAAUAAGACAAGUAGCGGUGAAAUGCAUAGAUAUGUCUUAGAACUCCGAUUGCGAAGGCAGCUCACUAAGCUGGUAUUGACGCUGAUGCACGAAAGCGUGGGGAUCGAACAGGAUUAGAUACCCUGGUAGUCCACGCCCUAAACGAUGAUAACUCGAUGUUGGCGAUAGACAGCCAGCGUCCCAGCGAAA
rnacentral:rRNA from 1 species